UUUUCCCAAUCUCUCUCUCUCUUUUGUUCUUCGUUUUUGAAUGAAGAAGAAGACUGAUGAGUUCUUCGACGAUUGGUGAGGAAAUUUCAUGGCAAGAAACUAGUACAAUCGGCUAGGGUUUCUUCUGAUGGUUUAGAAACUGUGACGGAGGGCUUCGGGAUGUUUCUGGGAGAGAAUCUUAACCGGUUAAGAUCGCAAGGAGACUUUGCGGUGAUGGUGUGAAGUAGAGAGACGGCGUAGUAGUGAUCGGCUUAGUGAGAUUCCUUCUGAUUCGCAUCUCUGAGUUUGUUAGAUACAGACAUGGCAAGAAGCUUUUGGUGGUCGAGACUAUGAAGUCAGUGUAUGUAUGUUAAGUUGUUAACAUGAUGAGAUGAGUCUUUCUUUUAUUAAUCAUUAGACAAAUUUGUCUUGUAAAUUUGUCUUGUAAUCAUUAGAUGAGUUUUUACAUUUUUGAUACCUUUUAGUCGGUUGGAAUUGAGCGUUUCCACCACAGAUGAAGAUGCUGCUUAUUCAAGUAAGGAGAUGGUGCUUCUAGCCUCAGGUUCUUAAAGAGAUUCACCGUGCUGAGGGAUCACUUGAGUCAGCUGGAAUUGAGGGUUUCCACUUCAUAUUCACUCAGCCCAUUGUACAUAUUGCUCCAUCUGAUGAAGAUUUUGCUAUUCAGGCAAGGAGAUGGUGCAUCUAGCCUCAGUUUCUUUUUGCUUCCAAGAGAUUCAAAGCGCUGAGGAAUCAGGUUGAUCUUUUGAUGGACAUGCAUGGAACACUUGAUCUCAGGAAUCCCCAGGUAUGCAUUAAUUGAUGAAACUGGUUUUCUUUCAAGUAAUGGAAGCUACUUAUUUUUAGUUUUAAAAGAAGAACUUAUAGUUGACUUAGUUUUGACAAAUGGUUUUACAUUUUGAUGACUUCAAUCUGCUGGAAUUGAGGGUUACCACCUCAUAUGCACUCAUUGCUCCAUCAGAUGAAUAUGUUGCUAUUCAGGCAAGGAGAUGGUGCUUCUAGUCUCAGGUCUUAAAGAGAUUUCAGACUGACUUUUCUUUCACCAGCCCAAAAAAAGAUCAUGGGCAGACACUAAUCUAAUAGUGUUCUGUCAGAUUCUAUUUUGGAGACAUUGUCCCGAGGAAAGUUGUCAACUAUUGAUUGGCUCGGUGUCACCAAAAGAACCAAAGAGAAUGCCAUAUGGCUUAAAGUCUUAAGACAAAAGACUCAAAAGAACAAAAGAGUUCUCUCAAUUUGUACCCUCGGCUUGUUGGUUGGAAAUGCCAUAUGGCUUAAAGUCUUAAGACAAAAGACUGAAAAGAACCAAAGAGUUCUCUCAAUUUGUACCCUCGGCUUGUUGGUUGGGAAUGCCAUAUGGCUUAAAAAGUCUUAAGACAAAAGACUGAAUAGAAGAACCACAGAGUUCUCUCAAUCUGUACCCUCGGCUUGAUGGUUGGGAAUACAAUGUGGCUUAAAAAGUCUUACGGCAAAGACUAAAUAGAAGAACCACAGAGUUCUCACAAUUGGUACCCACGGCUUUGAAAUACCAUAAGACAAAGAGUCAAAAGACUUUGGUACCCGCGGCUUUGAAAAACCAUAAGACAUAGAGUGAAUAGAACCGAAGAGUUCUCACAAUUGGUACCCACGGCUUCGAAAAACCAUUAGACAAAGAGUCGAAAGACUUUGGUACCCACGGCUUUGAAAAACCAUAAGACAUAGAGUCGAAAGACUUUUGGUACCCACGGCUUUGAAAAACCAUAAGACAUAGAGUCGAAAGACUUUGGUACCCACGGCUUUGAAAAACCAUAAGACAAAGAGUCGAAAGACUUUGGUACCCACGGGUUUGAAAAACCAUAAGACAAAGAGUCAAAAGACUUUGGUACCCGCGGCUUUGAAAAACCAUAAGACAAAGAGUCGAAAAGACUUUGGUACCCACGGCUUUGGAAAAUAUAAGACAAAGAGUCGAAAGACUUUGGUACCCACGGCUUUGAAAAACCAUAAGACAAAGAGUCAAACGACUUUGAAAAACCAUAAGACAAAGAGUCAAUAGACUUGGGAUGGGACUGAAAAUACGACCAAAAUCUUGAAAAAACAAGGUAAGUAUAGGACAUUCACGUAAACUGAAGACUAACUAACUCUGAUUUCCUCAGGUAUGUUCUUCUGAAAGCGUUCUGAUUGUUGAGACUUUGAGUAGAUUUAAAGUGCUGCAGACUUCUUUGCCAGGUGAAUACAGUGGCUGCUUUUGCGUGGAUGACUGUGGAGGAUUCCUGGAAGCUUUUUCUCUUGAGUUUCAUCCUUCCUGGGUUGUCUUGUCCGAGCGUCUGAAAGAACGAAGAGUAUAUUAAUUGUACCUAAGAAAUUGUUAAACUGGAUGGGAUGGGAACACUUCAAGCCUUCAAGUGUUUAUUUCCAACAAUUGUAUGAUUUGGCAGUGGAGUUGAUUUGAAGAGGUCAUGAGGAUACAAAAGAGUACAUAGAGAAGAAAAUGAACAGCCUCUAGAGGGACAUGCCUAUUGAAGAAUCUCUAAAACUUUUUGAGGAAAUGAGACUAGGAAUGAUUGAGGAGAGGAAGGCAACACUAAGAAUGAAGCAAGAUAUGCAGAGUGACAGAUUUAAUAUGUAUGACCUUAUUGCCUAUUGAAGAAAGGGAAGUGAAACUAGAAUCAUCUCUGGUUACAUAGAAUUCCCAUCUUACUGAUAUUUGUUUAGUUUAUCGAAUUAUCUGGCCAAGAAAGUAUGCCAAUACUGAGAACUUUUUUAUGUGCAGGGGAACCAGGAAGACCCAACAAGAAGAUGAAGUAUGAUGGGAAGGAUGAUCAAAAGAUGAAGAACAUCCAAAACGCUGAAGAUUACUAUGAUGAAGCUGAUGAAGAUUGAAUUGACUACUCUUGCUGUAUUGUAGCAUAAUUUUUACAGUGAUUACAUUUAGAACUAAUUGGAUAGAGAUUGUAAUGCUUUUGAAGGCGAAGGAGGGGAUAGAUUUUUCUACAUUGGAGUUGAAGCCAGAUCAUGGAAAUAGGCCUCUGAAAAAGUGAAGCUGGUAUCGAAGAAGAAUCGUUAUUUAAGUUCACGAGGCUUAUUCUCUUUCUCUUCUCUUUUGUAUUUGGGAUCUUGGUUUCUUUUUUUUACAUUGCUUUUGCCCAAUUGUAAAUACAAAACUGUCUCAGGCGUUGAAAAGGCUUCUUAGUGAUGAUGACAUGAACUGAGCUAGAUUUGCUUCUGAGCCAUGUUAUGGUGGUGAUGUUUUUACGAUUGGCAAAAAAAGUGGUGAAACUGAACUAGGAACUAAAGAGCUGUUGAGUGCAACAUAACUGCCAGGUGGAGAUUGUGAAGCAGAUUUGCAUACCAAAUGCUUUGAAUUACCCUAUGUUAGAGGAAUACGACUUCAAGAACGAAAAUGACGAGCAAGAUCUGAGAUUGUAGUGUUGUCUUGUGGUGCUGGUAAAUCUCUAGUUGGUGUUUAUGCUGCGGCUCGUAUAAAGAAGAGUUGUCUUUUUUUUGGUGAAGAAGAGUUAUCAAUGGGCCUUCCAAUUCAAGUUGUGGUCUACUAUAAGAGAUGACCAUCUAUGCUGUUUCACUUUUGAAAACUGCUGGUGUUGUUGUGACAAACUAUAACAUGGUUUUCUUUGGUGGUAAAUGAUCUGAUGAAUCAGAGAAGGUUAUAGAAGAAAUGAGAAACAGAGAGUCGGAUUGCUACUCAUGGACGAGGAAAGUUAUCAGCAUCACAAAAUCUCACUGCAAGCUAGGACUUACAGAUACUGGUUGAUGGAGCUUUGCCAUGACAACUACAAGAAUGUGAAGUCAUUGUCAAACCAGCUAAGUCAUUUCACCAAGAUGACAUAUUUAGAUCUCAACAACUGCAAGAAUAUACGCUUUCCCAUUUAAGUGCGCCAAUGUUUUCUUUGCUGAUGAAAAUGAAACAGUUCGUGAGAUUCAUGCGAAAUAUAACCCUGAGAAAAAAGUCAAAGCCAAAUGUUCUUUUGUUUGGCCAUCUUUAUAAUAUCUACAGUUUCGUGGCUCUUUCUAACUAUUACUUUUUUUCUUUUAUCUUUAGGGGGUACUACACUGGGUAGCUGAAUCUUCCCUAGGAAAAGAGCCUUUGAUUAUUUGAGAAAGUCUUUCACUCCGAGGUACGUAUAUUGUUCUCUUUAAGUCCGAUUAUGAUGUAUCAACCCUUACAGAUGAUGCGGUCGGGGACAGAUUCCAGUUCGAGAGACAAGGUAUUUUCAGUUUCAAGAUCAUAAAAAUUGCUUGAGUUUCUAGAUGAGCACAUUGUGAGUUUAAAAUUUUGUUUUAAUCUUCUCAUAAGGUCUCUUAUUAUUUCAUAUAAUGGAUGCAGCUUAGAGUCUCUUGUAGAUGCUUGUCUUUCUGUAGAUUGUGAUUGUAGUUUCCUUGAAUCUUGAAAGUAUUUGAUUUGCAUGCUCUCUCUACCUUUGGUGAUUGUUUUAAACAUAUGAAUGACAUCCUAAAAGUCUACAUUAUACACUUAGAAAAGGUAGAUUUUACUUUGACUAUUGGAACAUUACAAUUGCUUGAUUAAAAUACGUUUUAUCUCCGUUUUGCUGUUUCUAUGUAUAGUAGAUUCCUUCAUGUUACCAAAUAUAAUCAUCUCCUGUAGAUAUGGUUUCUUAACGUAUAUGGUUUUUCGCACAUUAUGGUAAUAGUAUUAUUGAAUCUUAGAAUGUAUUUGUUUUUUGUUAUGCUCUAAACUCUUGGUGUUUGUUUUAAGCAUGUGAAACGACAUUUUGGAAUUCUGCAUUAUCAUAAGGUCUCUUGUUUUAUGAAAUGAAUGCAUCACGCAUGUAUUUUAAACGUAGUUUUGAGGCUCACGCAGAUUAUGCAUGGUAGUAUUUUACUUGAGUCAUGAAUGUAUUUGUUUCAUGUUUUGCUCUGAUUCCUUGGUAUGUGAAGUGGCAUUCACAACUUUUGCAUCAUACACUGAUGGUUACUGUGUUAGACUUUACCAUUUGUACUCGUUGGAUUGAAUUUUUACAAUACAAUGAUUGAACUAUCUCUGUUAUUACACUAGUGCCUAGCUUUCAUGUGGUCUCUUUGUCUUACAUAGUCGAUGGAACUUUGAAACUCUUUUGAAUCAUUGGUGUAUUUAUUUAGAUAGAACAUGCAAUGGAGAUUUCUUGACUCUUUACCGUGUCUUUUGUUUUAGUCACAUAUUUUUUAUGAUUGAUGUCAAAAUUAAGCGGUUGCCUUUUGAUAUAUGUUGUUUGGUUGUUUGAAAAUGGACAACUGAUUUUUCAAUGUUAGUUUUGUUGAAAAAAAAUAUUUUCUCUAUCUUUUUUUUUUAGCUUUGUGUUAGAUUAUAAAAUAUGUAUAGCAUUUGUGUUAGAUUUUCUUGCAUUUUGGUUUGGUUGUCCGAUCAAUUUGGAUGAUAUCAUCCUGACUUUUGCAUCUUGUGUGUUAGUGUCGUAACUAUAUCUAUUCUUGUACGUCUAUCUAUUAAUUCUUGCAUGUCUAUGAUUGAUUAUGACAUAAUUUAUGAGUAUGUAAAGGACUUAAAAUUUUAUCUUUUGUUUAGUGCUUGGUAUUUUAAAUGAUUAA